rnacentral:tRNA from 1 species
GCCCGGAUGGUGGAAUUGGUAGACACGCUAGGUUCAGGGUCUAGUGAGGGUUCCCUCAUGCAGGUUCGAGUCCUGUUCCGGGCA